CCUACGGGAGGCAGCAGUGGGGAAUUUUGGACAAUGGGCGCAAGCCUGAUCCAGCCAUGCCGCGUGCGGGAAGAAGGCCUUCGGGUUGUAAACCGCUUUUGUCAGGGAAGAAAUCCUUUGAGCUAAUACCUCGGGGGGAUGACGGUACCUGAAGAAUAAGCACCGGCUAACUACGUGCCAGCAGCCGCGGUAAUACGUAGGGUGCAAGCGUUAAUCGGAAUUACUGGGCGUAAAGCGUGCGCAGGCGGUUAUGCAAGACAGAUGUGAAAUCCCCGGGCUCAACCUGGGAACUGCAUUUGUGACUGCAUAGCUGGAGUGCGGCAGAGGGGGAUGGAAUUCCGCGUGUAGCAGUGAAAUGCGUAGAUAUGCGGAGGAACACCGAUGGCGAAGGCAAUCCCCUGGGCCUGCACUGACGCUCAUGCACGAAGACGUGGGAGGACGAACAAGAGUAGUAUACCGUACGGUACGUACCGACCGACCCGUAACCGUACGUAGU
rnacentral:rRNA from 1 species